rnacentral:rRNA from 1 species
UACAGAGGUCUCAAGCGUUGUUCGGAUUCAUUGGGCGUAAAGGGUGCGUAGGCGGCGCGGUAAGUCGGGUGUGAAAUCUCGGGGCUUAACUCCGAAACUGCAUUCGAUACUGCCGUGCUUGAGGACUGGAGAGGAGACUGGAAUUUACGGUGUAGCGGUGAAAUGCGUAGAUAUCUGGAGGAACACCGGUGGCGAAGGCGGCAUCCUGGACCAAUUCUGACGCUGAGGAGCGAAAGCCAGGGGAGCAAACGGG